UGGACAGGGGGGUUCCUGCUGACCGGCAGGGCCUGUCCAGCAGGUCGCGCGAAGGCGUGAUCAGUGGUUGUCGCUCGGGGGUGAUCGCCG
rnacentral:sRNA from 1 species